GCUUACGACCACGACCCACCGGCCUGAGUACGCCUGAUCUCGUCUGAUCUCGGAAGCUAAGCAGGGUCGGGCCUGGUUAGUACUUGGAUGGGAGACUUCCUGGGAAUACCAGGUGCUGUAAGCU
ensembl:rRNA 5S_rRNA 5S ribosomal RNA